rnacentral:rRNA from 1 species
AUCGAGGUGGAGAGUGGCGAAAGGGUGAGUAACGCGUGAGCAAUCUACCUCUAAGUUCGGAAUAACCCCGCGAAAGUGGAGCUAAUACCGGAUGUGGUACCUCGUCGCAUGGCGAGGCUAUUAAAGGUGGGGAUCCUUCGGGACCUGCUGCUUGGAGAGGAGCUCGCGUCCCAUCAGCUUGUUGGUAGGGUAACGGCCUACCAAGGCAUACGGGUAGCCGGCCUGAGAGGGUGACCGGCCACACUGGGACUGAGACACUGCCCAGACUCCUACGGGAGGCUGCAGUCGAGGAUCAUUCGCAAUGCGCGAAAGCGUGACGAUGCGACGCUGCGUGGAGGAUGACGGCCCUAGGGUUGUAAACUCCUGUCAUGAGGGAACAGCCGGCAAAGGGAUAAUACCCCUUCGCUCCGAUGGUACCUCAAGAGGAAGCCACGGCUAACUCUGUGCCAGCAGCCGCGGUAAUACAGAGGUGGCGAGCGUUGUUCGGAUUUACUGGGCGUAAAGGGUGCGUAGGUGGUUUCGUAUGUCGGAUGUGAAAGCCCGGGGCUCAACCCCGGAACUGCAUUCGAAACUGCGGGACUAGAGUACAGGAUGGGAGAGCGGAAUUCUUGGUGUAGCGGUGAAAUGCGUUGAGAUCAAGAAGAACACCGGCGGCGAAGGCGGCUCUCUGGAAUGUUACUGACACUCAUGCACGAAAGCUGGGGUAGCAAACAGGAUUAGAUACCCUGGUAGUCCCAGCUGUAAACUGUGUGCACUUGGUGUUGGCGGUAUUGACCCCGCCAGUGCCGGAGUUAACGCGUUAAGUGCACCGCCUGAGGAGUACGAUCGCAAGGUUAAACUCAAAGAAAUUGACGGGGGCCCGCACAAGCGGAGGAGCAUGUGGCUUAAUUCGAUGCAACGCGAAGAACCUUACCUGGGUUUGACAU